AUUGAUAUACGGCACAUUGCUUAAGACAGAACAGCAUUGUGGGCGUUUUGCUCUUAACUGCAUAACACCGUUUGAAUUUUCAGUAAUUAACUGGAAAUUGCUAUGGAUAUUGGGAAGCCGUUGGUUAGUAGUGGCGACAGAGAAUUUGCUAACAAAGCAAUGCCAAGUUUCGAGUGUCACACCUAAUAGGCUACGCGAAUUUAAAAGUAAUUAUAUCACAAUUUGUUCGUUUUUGAUUUCCAACAGAAUACGUUGAUCUGUAUUUCACAUAAAUUUUCUUGUUCUUUUCCAAGGCAACCCUGUACUUUGAGUAUUUUUGUUGCAGCUGGCUAGAGUGUCGCCGGAUUGUGCAGUACACAAGUCUUGUACAGUAUCCAGUCUUCUGGGCCAUGUAACAGUAGGAACAGAGACGAGACUAACGGCAACCAAUGAACAAGUUGAGGAUGUUUCAGUGUUGGAGGGGGAUUUGACUGACGACGUAACGUGAAAAGAAAACAAUUGCAUCAUACAAAGACAGCGUGCAGCACAGCAUGCAGCAUAACAAUGUCUGAUAUAAGUGAGAGCAUCAAGGACGCAGUCAUUUCUGUCCUGCCAAGUGUGCCAGAAGAAAGCGAUCUUACACCAGGGAGUGGAAAGCAAAGAUGACUUGCAGUACAUAAGAGAACAGGAAAUUGCAGAGGUUAUUCGACCAAUUCAGUGCAGAAAACUUUUAAAUGCAUGGAAAUGAGCAGGUUUCUGCCUCUGCUGCUGACGUUGAGAGGUCCUUAACUUUGCCUGACAGUCCUCGAUUGAUUGUUCUCGAACUCGCCUCCGCAGGCAGGGACCC